rnacentral:rRNA from 1 species
CACGUAGGGCGCAAGCGUUGUCCGGAAUUAUUGGGCGUAAAGAGCUCGUAGGCGGUCUGUUGCGUCCGCUGUGAAAACUCGGGGCUUAACCCCGAGCCUGCAGUGGAUACGGGCAGACUAGAGGUAGGUAGGGGAGAAUGGAAUUCCCGGUGUAGCGGUGAAAUGCGCAGAUAUCGGGAGGAACACCAGUGGCGAAGGCGGCUCGCUGGGCCGGACCUGACGCUGAGACGCGAAGGCGUGGGGAGCGAACGGG